CUGGUAGCAUGGCCUUCCUGCACCACUUGCUCCUGGCAGUUCUGCCCCCGGGUGUCAGGAUGACCAAAACCAGGCCAGGACCGUGAGACCAAUGGACAGCCAGAGCCCAGGAGGUCCAAAGGCCCGUCGGACAGAGGAUAGUGCCUGGGGAUGACCCACAGGCCAGGGUUAGUCUACUUUCCAGGCCAGGGCAGGAGACAUUAUUUUUAUUUCCUGGCUUUUCGAAAGCAUCUCUGUCCUCCAGGACUUGGCAUAUGCCUGUCCAGAGAGCUGCCUCAGCAAAUGGGAGCCCGGCGUGGGUGUCUGAAGACCCUCGGGACCUCAUGCUCAGGCCUCGGCCUUCUCCUUGGCCACUUCGCCAGGUGACACCUGAAGGUUGAGGACCGUGUCUACCCCAGGUCGGGAAGUGGUCCUGUCUGCAGCUGGCCUGCGGUGAGUGGGGCCUCCCACUCUUGUUCUGGAAAGUACGGAGUCAUGGAAGUUUACAGAGCGAGGUGGUCUGAGGUCAGAGCCGUUUUCCCGCCACUCCUCUCCAGGCCCUGCCCUCAGCUCAGGGUCCUUUCCUGGGGAACUCAUUACCUCCUUCCUCCCUACCCCGUGCCUCCCCUUGAAACCACUCAUCCACCCAGCGCCCUAGAGGACCCACCUCAUCUACAUACGAUGCAUCACAGUGUGGUGAUCUUUGACUCCGUGGGUCUUCCAAGGUCCUCUCUAGCCUCCCAUGUCCGGUUGAAGAUGGCCUGGAAGAGGAUGAAAAGGAGCUCUCAGCCCCAUCUCCUUCCAGCCCUGAGGACAAACUGUUUGUGGACAGAUGUACACUUGGGUGCACUUGUCUAUCCCAUAGGGUCACCAGCCUCAAAAGCCCUCUGAGCACAGGAGUCUUCAAGGUAAGCCCACAUCUCCCUGCCUGUCCAUCACUCAGCACCUCAGGGUGCUCCCAGUACACCCAGACAACCUGCCACUGACGGACGACCGCCCAGGACGCCACGCAGGAGAGUCCUGCCUAAAGUAAGGAGAAAGGUCAAGUGAGGGAAACUGAGUCACAUUUGUUCCCCUUCCCCAGCCAGGCUGGCUCUGGACGUGGGAGGAGUCUCAUGGCUGAGGUCGGCCAGGAACGUGUCUGCUGUGCGCCAUCCUUUCUCUUCCUGUGGUCAGUGACGUGAGAAGCCAAGCUCAGGCAGGGUGGACAGGGCCAGGCCGUGGGGAAGGGGCACCCAGGACCACCACAGUGACACGCAUCACUCCACUGAUUGCAUGAGGGUGAUCUGGGAGCUGCUAGGAACCCCAGGGACCCCUUCGCAGUGUGAGAUGUGCUCAGGGUCUCCCAGCAAGGGGCAGCUGGUUAGUGGCUGGCUCCGCUUGAAAGGCAGGGCAGUCCCAGGCUACUGCUGGGGCAGGGGCAGGACCUUGGUCAAGGAGUGCCCAGCUCCAUCCUCUUCCUUGAAGUGCCUCGGAGAGCCUCAAGUGGUAGUGGCCAGUGGUGUCUCUCCUCGCUCCACCGCAUUCAGGUGGAGACCUAGACCAGGAGUCAGUGACCUGUGGUGAGCCUUGGACAAGUCCCCUCCCAGGGACAGUCCUGUCUUCCCACCUAGACCACAGAGCCGUUCUCUGCGCGCCCCUGCCCUGCCUUGCUGGCCCUGCUUGGGCAGUCUUUGGAGAUACUGUGAUCCAAGCCAAGGGGUCCAGGCUCGAGCCAAGGGAAUGCGACCCUAGAAACUCAGGCAUAUUUCCCUGCGAGGCCUCUGGGAUCACAGGUACCUGUCGCUGUAGCACAGACCAGAGCCUGCCAGGGGAGGGCCAGGCCCUGCCCCACAGGGUCCCUGCUCUAGGUCCACGGCCUAGGCUUGAACCAGUGGUCUUCCUGCCCACGGCCAUCACUGCCUCUUAUGAGGCAGGACAAGUGUCCUCACAUUCUGCUAACGCUCAGCGGGGAGACCCAGUAAGAUUUCAGGCCUCUCUCUCCCUACCUGUAAAGUUGGGUUAACUGGAUAGUUAUCGGUGAUACCUCAGCAAGGUGCUUGCCACAGGCAUCGUGUCCAGGCUGACUGUUGCCCUGAAGUGGGCAGUACGCGGUGAGGUCUCACUUGUCCUGUUGCACAACGAGUCAGAGAGGCCCUCCUCCCUACCAUGGUGCCCAAAGCCCAGGGCCAAGCACAGAGCCCUUACUGGCCUUAGGACGUGCCAGCCACCAUGGACGGCCUGUGUGUCCAGCCAGAGUCUACACUUCCGCCCAGUUGGCCUCUCUAAGAAGCCAGGCUACCUCCCACUAGGAAAAACUAUUCUCAGCUCUCUUCCGGUCACCCAGAGGGUGGGGCAGGACUGGACCAGAGCCCAUGAGGAGGAGGGAGCUGCUGGCCCGGUGGGGAGGAGGGUGCGCACCAUUGCCUAGCUGGAGACCCCAGCCUCUCCUCUGGCCUGUGAUGGAGCUGAGUGGGCAGAAGCCGGGUCUCAGCUAGGUGGACACGUGGAGCCCUGGACCCUGGCCGGACUCUGGAAAGUGACAGCUUUCCCCCAGUGUGUCCAAGACAAGAGGAAUCCUUUGGGAUGUUGUGACCACUCCCGUCCACUGGCAGCCAUUUGGCCUUUGGUGUCCUCCCCACACCCUCUUCUCUUUCCUUUCUCUCUGGUUGUGGUCUCCUACAGGAGUCCUCUCCUAAUCCAGAGGUGUCUCAGGCCCACUGCCUGCUGGUCCCCUGGGCCCUCGCCACUCUCACUGUGUCCCCCAGCUUUCCUUCUCCCACCAGGAGGCGCCUCAGGAAGCCACGAUGUCCAUCCCGGAGCCAGGACUGACUGACGGCCUUUGGGGUGAGGUAGUAGGUUGUAUGGUUUCGGGCUCUGCCCUGCUUUGUGCUAACUAUACAAUCUACUGUCUUUCCUGAAGUGGCCGCGAUAUCUGCGGUGGACAAGCGCUAGUCCGGCUGGGGAGGCCAGGGGAUGUGUGGGGCAGCAGUGGCUGCUGAGCAACAGGACUUCCAGCAUGCCUGGACCCCAUGCCUGGGUGACCUUGGACCAGAUUCCUUGGCCUCUCUGGUCUCCAUUUCCUCCUCUAUGAACUGGGGACAGAUGGGGACGGGAACAGAUGUAGUGUGACUGCUCAGGACACCUCCUCCCUCCGGGAUGUGCUAAGAGGAGUGAGCUGGACUCCCUUGGCUCUGCCUCCAUCAGGUCCAGACUCCUGGGCCUCCCUGAUUAGGAGCCUGAACUGUACCCACAGCGCAGCCUCACAGCCCCUGAAGCGUGGAGGUCCCAGGGCAGCGACCAUCAGCCUGGCCCCUGCCCCAGGAUGUCCAGCUCAGGGUCAGGCCGCAGGUGGGUGGCCACAUCUCUACUCACAGAGGGAAGGGAGGUUCCCAAGCCGGCAGGGAGAGGAGGGUCUCUGAACACACCUGGGCACCCUGGGGGACAUUGUGCAGCUGGAAGGCGUGGGUCACUGUUCCCUGCGAGAUCAAACCCUGCAGGCCUCCCCAGCCCAGCCUGUGGGUACGAAUCCUCCUGCUGAGACUCCUUCUCUGCUCUCCCACCUUCCCUGAGUCAGGCAGGCCCUCCGACUCCGGAGACCUGCGGCCAGGGUUGGUGGGGAGCAGCCGGGCCUCCCCGCAGAGCGCGGGCGCCGCGGGGUGAGGUAGUAGGUUGUGUGGUUUCAGGGCAGUGAUGUUGCCCCUCGGAAGAUAACUAUACAACCUACUGCCUUCCCCGAGGAGCCCAAGGACACGUCUCCACGGAGGCCCCUGCUCGGCAGGUCCUGGGAAGAGCCUGCACCGCGGACAGGGUGGGGGCUGAGCCGAGGUGCCCAGAGAUCAAUAAAGGCUGUUCUGGUGUAAAUUUA